CCCCGGCGGGCCAUAAAAGCCCCGAGGCAGAGGCAGGGCAGCUUUCCCGGCCCCUCCGCCGCUCAGGUGACCCAGGGACAGGUGAGCCCCGCGGGUGCGGAGGCGGCUCGGGGACGCUGCGAGGGGUUCCUCGGCCACCUGUGGAGCCGGUCCCGUCUCUGCCGGGCGGCUCCGCCGGCGCAGGAACCCGGCGGGUGCGGGGAGCGCUAGGGGGAAGGGGCCGCUCUCCCCCGGCCCUGGGGCAGCCGGGCGGGUGGGCCGGGGCGAUCCGGGGAGAUCCCGGCGGGAUCCCGGUGGCGGGGCCGCGGAUCAGCACCACGGACAGCGCCCGGCGGCGCCUCCCAGGCGGGGCUGGACUGGGACGCGAGUCCGGCACCGGGAAGCGGCACCGCGCACCGGCAGGAGCGGGCAGGACUCUCCCGGGACAUCACCGCCCACCAGGAGCCACCGAGGCGGCGCUGGAUGUUCGCCGGGGCCGGGAUGGAUCCAACCCAGAGGUCUCUGAAGAACAGAGGACUCAGGUUCUCACCCAGUGCUGACGGUGGGCUUGGAGCUCUGGGCAGGUUUAACGUGACCUCACAAGGGGCUGCACAGGUGGGUGGAACAGGCAUUGCCAGCUAAUGAGUUGACAACUUUCAAAAAUAAAUGAGCUAGUAUAUUUUUCCA
rnacentral:lncRNA from 1 species